CCUACGGGUGGCAGCAGUGGGGAAUAUUGGACAAUGGGGGCAACCCUGAUCCAGCCAUGCCGCGUGUGUGAAGAAGGCCCUCGGGUUGUAAAGCACUUUCAGUGAGGAAGAACGCCUGGUGGUUAAUACCCAUCAGGAAAGACAUCACUCACAGAAGAAGCACCGGCUAACUCCGUGCCAACAGCCGCGGUAAUACGGAGGGUGCGAGCGUUAAUCGGAAUUACUGGGCGUAAAGCGCGCGUAGGUGGCUUGAUAAGCCGGUUGUGAAAGCCCCGGGCUCAACCUGGGAACGGCAUCCGGAACUGUCAAGCUAGAGUGCAGGAGAGGAAGGUAGAAUUCCCGGUGUAGCGGUGAAAUGCGUAGAGAUCGGGAGGAAUACCAGUGGCGAAGGCGGCCUUCUGGACUGACACUGACACUGAGGUGCGAAAGCGUGGGUAGCAAACAGGAUUAGAUACCCUGGUAGUC
rnacentral:rRNA from 1 species